rnacentral:rRNA from 1 species
GACGAACCGUGCGAACGUUGUUCGGAUUCACUGGGCUUAAAGGGCGCGUAGGCGGGCAGCCAAGUCAGGGGUGAAAGCCCCCGGCCCAACCGGGGAAGUGCCUCUGAGACUGGCUGUCUCGAGUGGGGUAGGGGCAGUUGGAACUCUCGGUGGAGCGGUGAAAUGCGUAGAUAUCGGGAGGAACGCCGGUGGCGAAAGCGGGCUGCUGGACCCUUUCUGACGCUGAGGCGCGAAAGCCAGGGGAGCGAACGGG